rnacentral:rRNA from 1 species
UAAGCAUAUCAAUAAGCGGAGGAAAAGAAACUAACAAGGAUUCCCCUAGUAACUGCGAGUGAAGCGGGAAAAGCUCAAAUUUGAAAUCUGGCGGUUCUUGACCGUCCGAGUUGUAAUCUAGAGAAGUGUUACCUGUGCUGGACCGUGUACAAGUCUCCUGGAAUGGAGCGUCAUAGAGGGUGAGAAUCCCGUCUUUGACACGGACUACCUGUACGUUGUGGUGCGCUCUCGAAGAGUCGAGUUGUUUGGGAAUGCAGCUCAAAAUGGGUGGUAAAUGCCAUCUAAAGCUAAAUAUUGGCGAGAGACCGAUAGCGAACAAGUACCGUGAGGGAAAGAUGAAAAGAACUUUGGAAAGAGAGUUAAACAGUACGUGAAAUUGCUGAAAGGGAAACGCUUGAAGUCAGUCGCGUUGGCCAGAAAUCAGCCUUUGCUUUUGCUUGGUGUACUUUCUGGUCGACGGGUCAGCAUCAGUUUCGACCGCUGGAUAAAGGCUUUUGGGAAUGUGGCAUCCUUUUAGGAUGUGUUAUAGCCCAUUGUCACAUACGGUGGUUGGGAUUGAGGAACUCAGCACGCCGCAAGGCCGGGUUUCGACCACGUUUCCGUGCUUAGGAUGCUGGCAUAAUGGCUUUAAUCGACCCGUCUUGAAACACGGACCAAGGAGUCUAACAUGCCUGCGAGUGUUUGGGUGGAAAAACCCAUGCGCGCAAUGAAAGUGAAAGUUGAGAUCCCCUUCUUUUUGGGGGGGGAGCAUUGACGCCCGGACCAGAGCUUCUGUGACGGAUCCGCGGUAGAGCAUGCAUGUUGGGACCCGAAAGAUGGUGAACUAUGCCUGAAUAGGGUGAAGCCAGAGGAAACUCUGGUGGAGGCUCGUAGCGAUUCUGACGUGCAAAUCGAUCGUCAAAUUUGGGUAUAGGGGCGAAAGACUAAUCGAACC